CCCAAAUCUGACCAGUACUUUUCAUCUCUAAUCAAUGAGGAGAAGCCAAAGAUCCGUAAAUACUGUCAUUGUUAAGGUCUUAUCUGUCGCAUUCCUCUAGGAUAGUACGUGUGUAACAUGACAGAACACUCGGUUUGUCGUGCACGUAUGCAGCAGUUUCCACUACUUGACAUGGAUUUAAAUUCAAGACUUAUGGUGUCACUGUCACACAUGCUCAUGAGCUAGAUAAUCUAUAUGACCUGCUUCAAUCUAAUUCAAAGAGGGAUUACUUGG